AGAACGAACGCUGGCGGCAUGCCUAACACAUGCAAGUCGAACGAGACCUUCGGGUCUAGUGGCGCACGGGUGCGUAACGCGUGGGAAUCUGCCCUUCGGUUCGGAAUAACAGUUAGAAAUGACUGCUAAUACCGGAUAAUGACGUAAGUCCAAAGAUUUAUCGCCGAAGGAUGAGCCCGCGUAAGAUUAGCUUGUUGGUGAGGUAAAGGCUCACCAAGGCUACGAUCUUUAGCUGGUCUGAGAGGAUGAUCAGCCACACUGGGACUGAGACACGGCCCAGACUCCUACGGGAGGCAGCAGUGGGGAAUAUUGGACAAUGGGCGAAAGCCUGAUCCAGCAAUGCCGCGUGAGUGAUGAAGGCCUUAGGUUGUAAAGCUCUUUUACCGGAUGAUAAUGACAGUACCGGAGAAUAAGCUCCGGCUAACUCCGCGCCAGCAGCCGC
rnacentral:rRNA from 1 species